UACGUAGGGUGCGAGCGUUAAUCGGAAUUACUGGGCGUAAAGUGUGCGCAGGCGGCCGCGCAAGUCGAGUGUGAAAGCCCCGGGCUUAACUUGGGAAUUGCGCUCGAAACUACGUGGCUGGAGUGUGGCAGAGGAAGGUGGAAUUCCACGUGUAGCGGUGAAAUGCGUAGAGAUUGGGUGGAACACCGGUGGCGAAGGCGGCUAUCUGGCUCACAACUGACGAUCAGGCACGAAAGCGUGGGGAGCAAACAGG
rnacentral:rRNA from 1 species